rnacentral:rRNA from 1 species
CGGAGGAAAAGAAACUAACAAGGAUUCCCCUAGUAACGGCGAGUGAAGCGGGAAAAGCUCAAAUUUGAAAUCUGGUAGCCUCAGGCUGCCCGAGUUGUAAUCUAUAGAAACGUUUUCCGCGCUGGCCCAUGUACAAGUCUCCUGGAAUGGAGCGUCAUAGAGGGUGAGAAUCCCGUCCUUGACAUGGACUACCAGUGCUUUGUGAUACGUUUUCAAAGAGUCGAGUUGUUUGGGAAUGCAGCUCAAAAUGGGUGGUAAAUUCCAUCUAAAGCUAAAUAUUGGCGAGAGACCGAUAGCGAACAAGUACCGUGAGGGAAAGAUGAAAAGCACUUUGGAAAGAGAGUUAAACAGUAUGUGAAAUUGUUGAAAGGGAAACGAUUGAAGUCAGUCAUGUCUAUUGGACUCAGCCGGUUCUGCCGGUGUACUUCCUUUAGAUGGGGUCAACAUCAGUUUUGAUCGCUGGAAAAGGGCAGGAGGAAUGUAGCACUCUCGGGUGAACUUAUAGCCUCCUGUCGUAUACAGUGGUUGGGACUGAGGAACGCAGCAUGCCUUUAUGGCCGGGGUUCGCCCACGUACAUGCUUAGGAUGUUGACAUAAUGGCUUUAAACGAC